CUACGGGGUGCACCAGUGGGGAAUAUUGCACAACGGGCGCAAGCCUGAUGCAGCCAUGCCGCGUGUAUUAGGAAGGCCUUCGGGUUGUAAAGUACUUUCAGCGGGGAGGAAGGGAGUAAAGUUAAUACCUUUGCUCAUUGACGUUACCCGCAGAAGAAGCACCGGCUAACUCCGUGCCAGCAGCCGCGGUAAUACGGAGGGUGCAAGCGUUAAUCGGAAUUACUGUGCGUAAAGCGCACGCAGGCGGUUUGUUAAGUCAGAUGUGAAAUCCCCGGGCUCAACCUGGGAACUGCAUCUGAUACUGGCAAGCUUGAGUCUCGUAGAGGGGGGUAGAAUUCCAGGUGUAGCGGUGAAAUGCGUAGAGAUCUGGAGGAAUACCGGUGGCGAAGGCGGCCCCCUGGACGAAGACUGACGCUCAGGUGCGAAAGCGUGGGGAGCAAACAGGAUUAGAUACCCCCGUAGUC
rnacentral:rRNA from 1 species